rfam:Otolemur garnettii contig014736, whole genome shotgun sequence.
GCCAGGCAUUGUGGCCAGCGCCUGUAGUCCCAGUUACUUGGGAGGCUGAGGCAAGAGAGUUGCUUAAGCCCAAGAGUUGGAGGUUGAUGUGAGCUGUGAUGCCACAGCAUUCUACCCAGGGUGACAGCUUGAGACUCUGUCUCUAAAUAAAUAAAUAAUAAAAUAAAAUAGAUUGAUUCAUCACAUUUUUUUUUUUUUGAGACAGCGCCUCAAGCUGUCCCCCUGGGUAGAGUGCUGUGGUAUCACAGCUCACAGCAACCUCCAACUCCUGGGCUCAAGCGAGUCUCCUGCCUCAG